CAGAUGGGCUGAUCUGCAGAGCCCAAGAUGGCUUUACUUACAUGUCUGCCACUUUGAUGGACAUGGCUGGAAGACUGACCUUAGCGACUCAAGUAGCAGGGAACCACUGAGACCAUAUUGUUGCCCAUAUGUCGGAAAGCUACUAAAUUAAACCCCUGUGUAACAUGCUGACAAGUCUAAUGCAGUAGUUGGAGAUUUGGGGAAUGGGUAGUCUUUCCUUUGGAGAAGAACAAAAAGCUGGACAAACAGACAAAAAAGCAACAAAAAUACUGGACAACUAAAGAUUUCUCAAAUCUUGCUCCACAGGACACUGAUGUUCCUCUAAAUGUUAGUAGUCUACAGGAUAUCAGAAUUCUAAGAAAAACUUGGAAAUCAUGUUCAGGACUAUACAGGACUUUAAAAGCUUUAUCUUCCCAAACUGAAAACCAGACCUCUCAAGUCUAGCUGCUCUCCUCCAGGUGCUGCAUAAAUGGACCUGGUCUUUGGCUACCUUACUUUGGAUCACUUGGUUGAAACAGUUCCCUUAGUCAACUUGUCCACUGGACUUAAGCUGUGGGACACAGAAAUUUUCCCUGGAAGAACAGAACAAUGAAGAUGAAUAGUUGAAAAAUGAGAGAAUCCUGCAUUCUAAAGGAUCUAGUCUGGAUGCCAGGAGCUGUGUAUAGGAUGAGAGCCUGGUGGACCUGAUUGACCGCCUGUUGUUCAGUUCAGUUCAGAGACUGAAAAUCAGGAUUUGUGCUGGAGAGUCUUUGAACUGUGUGUGAAAGUAUCUGAAGGUCCAUGACAAUUUGAAAGAAGGCAUAUGAAAAAGGUGCAGGAAUCGAAGGCACGAGAUACACCUGAAAGUGGUGGAGCAAUGAAUCUGAACAGGAUGAUGGAUUGAAAGUGCUCAAAAGAGGCAGCUAGGAUCCUGUAUUCAUGUCCUACCACUGCAGCCAGGGAAAGAUCCUCCCACAUCUAUCAGAAGACUGGAGGAUUAUGUCUGGAGAGAUUGAAUUCUAGGGAUGCUCAGGCCCAAAUGAAGGUUUGAGCACACAAUGAAAUGAGUUGAUAUUGACUGUUGGGAACCAGAGUUCUCAGUGGAUGAAGAGACACAGAAAAAUAAAAUGAAGGAAGGCAAAGAAGAUCUCUGAAGAGAUGGAUUGGAAUUGGAAGCAUUAGUAUGAACCAUGAUUCUAAAAUAGUUAUAUAUUGAUGUCUAUGCUUGUAUAUAUCCAGAAGUUUAUGUAUGUAUGUUUAAAUGUGUGUGUAAUAUAUAUGUAUACAUAUAUGUACACAUGUAUAUAUUUCCUAGCUUUGUCUACUGAAAGGGUCCACAAGCAAAAUCUUGUAGCGGAUCUUGGUCUCUAAGAUUGUUCCCUGUUAAAAAAAAAACAGGAUCCGUUGGAGAAAUUGCUGAUUCCAGUGCUGUAGCAGAAAAGGUAAUACAUGAUCCUAAAAUCAGUAGUCUCAUUCUGUUAGAUUACUGUGGGGUUCAGUAUGGUAGCCACUAGUCUCUUGUGCUAUUUAUUUAUUUAUUUUUAUUAUUAUGC
rnacentral:lncRNA from 1 species